UAGUUCAACCUUAAAUUACCCCCCCCCCCCCCAAGGAAGCCCCACAUUUAAACGUUAUUCAAAUAAGGUACAGCUUAUUUGAUACAGGAUACAACCUAAAACACAGGGUAAUGCACACCAUAAGUGCUUAAGUAGGCCUAAAAGCAGCCACCUUAAAGACAGCGUCAAAGCUCAACCACAAUAAAACACUAAUCCCCCAAGUAAUACAGAACCCUUUAAUAGUAUUGAGUGAUUCUAUGCCCCAUAGAAGACCCCAUGCUAGAACUAGUAACAAGAAUAAGACCUUCUCUUAAAUGCCAACGUAAAUCAGAACAGACACACUACUGAUAAUUAACACCCAUGAGCUAACAGUAAUAACCCCGCAAGAAAAUCUUACUACAACUAACGUUAACCUAACACAAGAGCAUUCAAAGAAAGAUUUAAAGAAUUGGAAGGAACUCGGCAAACAUUAACCUCGCCUGUUUACCAAAAACAUCGCCUCUUGCAUAAAUAAGAGGUCCAGCCUGCCCAGUGACUCUGUUCAACGGCCGCGGUAUUCUGACCGUGCGAAGGUAGCGUAAUCACUUGUUCUUUAAAUAAGGACUGGUAUGAAUGGCACCACGAGGGUUAUACUGUCUCCCAUUUCUAAUCAGUGAAACUAAUCUCCCCGUGAAGAAGCGGGGAUCCUACUAUAAGACGAGAAGACCCCAUGGAGCUUAAAACAAAUGGCACUUGCUAACCCCAGUUAAGCACUCUGACCAUUAGUUUUCGGUUGGGGCGACCGCGGAGAAAAACUAAUCCUCCACAUUGAAAGGAGCCUACUCCUAAACUCAAAGUUACCACUUAACGUAUCAAAACCUUGACACCCAUUGACCCAAUAAACUUGAUCAACGAACCAAGUUACCCUGGGGAUAACAGCGCAAUCCAUUUCAAGAGCUCCUAUCGACAAAUGGGUUUACGACCUCGAUGUUGGAUCAGGGUUUCCUAGUGGUGCAGCCGCUACUAACGGUUCGUUUGUUCAACGAUUAAAACCCU
rnacentral:rRNA from 1 species